GCAUGAUUUAAUUUCUCUUGUCUUCAAAUAAAAAUGGCCAGUUGAAGUGCAGAUUGGAAGACGAAGGGCAGGAGGGGACAGCUGACAGCUAUCCUCAGAGGAGAAUGGAGGGUGUGGUGUUCUGAGUUAGGAGUGGCAGGAAGAUCUGUGCUUUCCUCCAGCAGCUGGGCAACAAGCACGGAAGAUGGGAAUGUAAAUAGGCACGUGGGUCCAGGAGCCACAGAAAGCUCCUAACGAUGAGUCAUGGAUAUCUACAGGCCAUGAGAGGAGGAACCAGGGCUCAGGAGGCUCGAGGAGAAUGACCAGUUUUGAGAAAAGCAACUUCUCCAGUGCUCCAUGGAUCUGGCCACAAAUCUGUGAUAGCCAGAGCAUCCUGUUUCUAGUGGUGAAAGCAGUGGCAGCCGCAGUUCCCACAGCCAUGCUUCCCUGCUUAUAUAGUCAAAGCAACUAUCUAAAUAGCUGGGGUGUGCAGCUCAAUGGAACCCUGUCCCCUCAGCCCACUCUCCUUCAAGCUGGGAUCAGACUAAGUCGUCGCUUUGGCUUGUCUCUUCAGUGGAUUUUACCCGGAAGGCAAGGCCUUUCCUAAUGUGGCUCCCGCUUCCCUCCCCAGCUUCCUUUCUUCUUCCCAAAGGCAAGUGUUCUAUUAAUAGCUCCUGGAGACAUUGUGCAUUCCUGUGACUAAAAGUCCUUGAGGGACCUGCCUUAUCCUUUCUUCAUUCUUAGUUUUGCAGGAUUCCUUGUAUCUGCAGAUAUGUGAGAACCCUUAUUCCUUUCCCCAGGAGACGUCAGUGUUCCUGUAUAGGUAACCCUGUGUGUGCUCUUGGUGGAGACUUCACCAAGGCCUCUAAGCUCUGGGGGAAUAAGACUGUUUACUUCAUGCAGAGAACCCAGAACUUGGGACUAGAGAGAUGGCUCAGCAGUUAAAAGCAUCCGUAGCUCUUCCAGAGGAUCAGAGUUCAGUUCCCAGCACCCGCAUCAGGUGGCUGUCAACCAUCUGUCA
rnacentral:lncRNA from 1 species